UAACAUAUUGGAACGUACCGAGUAAUGGGGGAUAACUAUCCGAAAGGAUAGCUAAUACCGCAUACGCUUUAAGAAGGAAAGUGGGGGCUCUUCGGACCUCACGUUAUUCGAACGGCCAAUACCUGAUUAGCUAGUUGGCGGGGUAAAAGCCCACCAAGGCGACGAUCAGUAGCGGGUCUGAGAGGAUGAUCCGCCACACUGGGACUGAGACACGGCCCAGACUCCUACGGGAGGCAGCAGUGGGGAAUUUUGGACAAUGGGCGCAAGCCUGAUCCAGCCAUGCCGCGUGUCUGAAGAAGGCCUUCGGGUUGUAAAGGACUUUUGUUAGGGAAGAAAAGGAUAGUGCUAAUACCAUUAUCUGCUGACGGUACCUAAAGAAUAAGCACCGGCUAACUACGUGCCAGCAGCCGCGGUAAUACGUAGGGUGCAAGCGUUAAUCGGAAUUACUGGGCGUAAAGCGAGCGCAGACGGUUUAUUAAGCAAGAUGUGAAAUCCCCGGGCUUAACCUGGGAACUGCGUUUUGAACUGGUAAGCUAGAGUAUGUCAGAGGGGGGUAGAAUUCCACGUGUAGCAGUGAAAUGCGUAGAGAUGUGGAGGAAUACCGAUGGCGAAGGCAGCCCCCUGGGAUAAUACUGACGUUCAUGCUCGAAAGCGUGGGUAGCAAACAGGAUUAGAUACCCUGGUAGUCCACGCCCUAAACGAUGUCGAUUAGCUGUUGGGCAACUUGAUUGCUUAGUAGCGUAGCUAACGCGUGAAAUCGACCGCCUGGGGAGUACGGUCGCAAGAUUAAAACUCAAAGGAAUUGACGG
rnacentral:rRNA from 1 species